UGCGAAUAAAUUAAACAUAAAUACAUGUAUUGUGAUUAUAAAACAUUUACGUUGUACACAUGACAAAAUAAACGUUUAUUUUGUCAUGGUUGUACAGUUCUGAAUUACUAUGACGCGGUUUCCGACGGUUUUUGUUCUCGAUUGGCGUUGAAAAAAUGCUGUCGGCCGAUCGCGGCAUAAACCUGACUUCGCGUGCAACGGCAGUCGGCACAGACGGGUCGAACACAAAUAAGGCAGACAGGUCUCAAGCAUGAAUCUAAAAACAAAAAAGAACGACCAAUCAAAAGAUGGCGGUUGUGGCAAAAAACACUAGUCGUGCGGAAACGCGGUGAUGUCCGAUUGACGGUUAGUGUAAGUCGAAAGAGAAGGCGAUCGUAUCGGCGGUCGGUACUCGUUCUCGUACCGCCUAUUCUAGCCCUGGGCUUUGGUCGGGGAGUCGAUCGUGUCGCGUCGUAGUCGCCCGUGGUGAUGGUUGAUGAGCCCCAGACUGAUCGCUAAAGUACAGGCAGUCGUUGCGUACCGUGUCAAAAAAAUGAAAAACUGCUUCGUCUUAACCAGUAGAUAUGUAUAACAAAAUAAUACUCUUCUCGUGGUUGACUUGAAUCUUAACGAAUGAGUGCUCUAAUGGUUUAUAAUAAAACGAUGAUGAUAUUUAUUAAGGUAGAGAAAAUUCAUUGCUACGAUACGAAUAAAACGUUUAGCAACUGUAUUGUAAACAAUAAAUACAAUACAUUAUUAUCUAUAAUACACAAAACAAACAAAUCAUUUUUUUAAAUGUGUCUUGCUUUGUCUGUAACGGAGUCGAGAACGUGUAAUGACAAAUUUGGCGACGAAAGUGACUUAGACUUCAACGGAUGCAGUGGCCGUAGAGUCGUCGUCGAUGACGCCGAGAUCAACUAACUAAGGCAGGUAAUCGCGUCAAAUUCGAAAACAGUUGCAGACGGGUCGGCGUCAGCGUCAUCGUCAUCGAUGA